rnacentral:rRNA from 1 species
UACGUAGGGUGCAAGCGUUAAUCGGAAUUACUGGGCGUAAAGCGUGCGCAGGCGGUGAUGUAAGACAGGUGUGAAAUCCCCGGGCUUAACCUGGGAACUGCAUUUGUGACUGCAUCGCUGGAGUGCGGCAGAGGGGGAUGGAAUUCCGGCGUGUAGCAGUGAAAUGCGUAGAUAUGCGGAGGAACACCGAUGGCGAAGGCAAUCCCUGGGCCUGCACUGACGCUCAUGCACGAAAGCGUGGGGAGCAAACAGG